rnacentral:rRNA from 1 species
AGUGAACGCUGGCGGUAGGCCUAACACAUGCAAGUCGAACGGCAGCACAGUAAGAGCUUGCUCUUACGGGUGGCGAGUGGCGGACGGGUGAGGAAUACAGCGGAAUCUACUUUUUCGUGGGGGAUAACGUAGGGAAACUUACGCUAAUACCGCAUACGACCUACGGGUGAAAUCAGGGGAUCUUCGGACCUUGCGCGAUUGAAUGAGCCGAUGUCGGAUGAGCUAGUUGGCGGGGGAAAGGCCCACCAAGGCGACGAUCCGUAGCUGGUCUGAGAGGAUGAUCAGCCACACUGGAACUGAGACACGGUGCCGACUCCUACGGGAGGCCGCAGUGGGGAAUAUUGGACAAUGGGCGCAAGCCUGAUCCAGCCAUACCGCGUGGGUGAAGACGGCCUUCGGGUUGUAAAGCCCUUUUGUUGGGAAAGAAAAGCAGCAGGUUAAUACCCCGCUGUUCUGACGGUACCCAAAGAAUAAGCACCGGCUAACUUCGUG